GAUGAACGCUAGCUACAGGCUUAACACAUGCAAGUCGAGGGGUAACGAGAGGAAAGCUUGCUUUCCUUGUCGACGACCGGCGCACGGGUGAGUAACGCGUAUCCAACCUGCCCCCAACUAGGGAAUAACCUUGCGAAAGUAAGACUAAUACCCUAUAAUUUCCUCAGAUGCCAUCUGACGAGGAAUAAAGAUUUAUCGGUUGUGGAUGGGGAUGCGUCUGAUUAGCUUGUUGGCGGGGUAACGGCCCACCAAGGCAACGAUCAGUAGGGGUUCUGAGAGGAAGGUCCCCCACAUUGGAACUGAGACACGGUCCAAACUCCUACGGGAGGCAGCAGUGAGGAAUACUGGUCAAUGGGCGAGAGCCUGAACCAGCCAUGCCGCGUGCAGGAAGACGGCCCUAUGGGUUGUAAACUGCUUUUAUGUGAGGAUAAACCUAUUCUUGCGAGAGUAGCUGAAGGUAUCACAUGAAUAAGGAUCGGCUAACUCCGUGCCAGCAGCCGCAGUAA
rnacentral:rRNA from 1 species